rnacentral:rRNA from 1 species
UACGUAGGGGGCAAGCGUUGUCCGGAAUCAUUGGGCGUAAAGAGCGCGUAGGCGGUCCGAUAAGUCGGCUGUGAAAGUCAAGGGCUCAACCCUUGAAAGCCGGCCGAUACUGUCGGACUAGAGUCCGGAAGAGGCGAGUGGAAUUCCCGGUGUAGCGGUGAAAUGCGCAGAUAUCAGGAGGAACACCGGUGGCGAAGGCGGGUCUCUGGGCAACUACUGACGCUGAGGAGCGAAAGCGUGGGGAGCGAACAGG